rnacentral:rRNA from 1 species
CCAACCUAGUAUUAGAGGUCCUGCCUGCCCAGUGAAUAUACUUUCAACGGCCGCGGUAUCCUAACCGUGCAAAGGUAGCGUAAUCACUUGUCCCUUAAUUAAGGACCCGUAUGAACGGCUAACCGAGAGUACCCCUGUCUCCUAGAGCCAUAAAAUGAAACUGAGCUCCCAGUACAAACGCCGGGAUGCUACCAUAAGACGAGAAGACCCUGUGGAGCUUAUAAACUCAACCGCUACAAACCCUACAACCCUUUACUAACUAGUAAUAAAACCAAACCCUUAGCGGCCAUUUUAAGUUGGGGCGACUACGGAGCAAAAGAAAACCUCCAUGAACCAGGACUUCCCUCCCUCAAAGACCUACAACCCAAUGAGAUAUACAAAACCCACGGACCCAGUACCACUGAUCACCGAACCAAGUUACCCCAGGGAUAACAGCGCUAUCCUCUUCAAGAGCCCCUAUCGCCAAGAGGGUUUACGACCUCGAUGUUGGAUCAGGACCCCCCGGUGGUGUAGCCGCUACUAAAGGUUCGUUUGUUCAACGAUUAAUGUCCU